ACAGCGAUGGGUGAGGGACCGGAGCUGAGCGUCUGUAAACAUUGUCAGGGGGAGACCUGGGGGGUGAUGUGGCGAAAGGCCUGGGUCUGUGCUCUCACCCUGGAAGGAUGUGGGGUCAGCAGGGCCUUCGUGAGGCAGGAUGGGUGGCUCUCCUCCGCCCUCUGUCCAUCCCUCUGUCCGUCUCGCUGUUUCCCCGUUCCACUCCUCUUCCCCCCUUUCUGUCCACGUCUCUAUUUUCGUCUCGCCGUUCUGUGUCUGCGGCAUUAAAGGAAAUCCUGUGAGAUCUAUGGUCGCGUUACUUUAAAUACGCGGCCAAGGUAAAAGGGAGUUAUAUCUUUUGCAGUUGAUUUUGAGAACGAUGCACAUGUUUACUUGUGUAUGGGCGUUGUGCUGGUCUUAUCAGCGAAUACAUAUGGGGGAAUGAGACGCUUGUCUGUGUAUGGAGCUGUUAGAGGCUCGGGAUGCUGGGUAAGGCCUGGGACACUGGUUACACGUCAGCCACAUGCAGCUUCAGUCGUCGGAUACCAGUGUGUAACGGCCAGUGUGUUAAAUAGUGUGUGAUAGUAGCGCCUGAUCAUAAAAAAAUGACAGGAAAAAGGUUUCAAUAGCACUGGCUUUAGGGGACCCCAGAAUCCUCAUCCCUUUACUGAACAUGGCCCUAAAGGGUAAACAUGGAGACUAAUUAAAGACUGGAAAGACACAACAGGUCACAGGGGUUUAAAUGAACUCCGCAGUUUUCAGCGUUUACAUUCAUCGAAGUCAAAAGCGACACCAGAACCCGAGUGGACGGGUUUCUUACAACAUUACAGUAAUUAUGUGCAUAUGCUGUGAGCUGAUCUCUGUACAGCUGAAGCUGUUUAGAACACAGUAUUACUGACACAGUUUUUAUGUUUUUAGUUACAAACAUGCACUGUAAAUGCUGCUGAAACACAAAGACUAUUAUUCGUAAAACAUCGGCACCUAUAAUCCUCCUAAUGGCAGUGAGAAUGACGACAGCCGGCCAGGUAGCAAAUGAGCGCAAACGGUGCUGUGAAUGUAGCACUGACACGCUAAGCGUUUUCGUGACUAUUGCCUGCAGUCUCUCCCUCGCCGCACGCCUUCCCCCGUUCACCCUGGGGCUGCAAACUGAAGGUCCCCAGCCCCCCAAGGUGUCGGUGGGCCCAUGAGCCAUAUUUAACACCCCAGGCUCAUUUCUGCCGCUGUGUUCCAGGCGCAGGCGCCGUUUACUGUCGCUGGAAUAUGAUGAAAGAGCCUUAAAACGUAAUGGAUUUUAAAGCCCUAUUAAAAACAGAGUGAAACAGCCAGCUGGCUCGGCGUAGAUGGAGCAGCACUCCUGCAGUGAGGAAACAACUACAUCAACAAAGCGCCCUGAGGCUGAAGAUGGGCCGGAAUCGGCAUGGGCUCCUGGAACAGCCCUGUGAUUGUUCCCUGGCUUUGAAGCGGAGCGAGGACAGACGGGGCUUCGAACCGUGAGGGCGGAUCAAUCCUGACCAUUCAUGGGUCAGAUCGGGGGUGCCGGUGAGAUUCCGUCAAGUCCGGGAACCGACUUCUCCUGCAGCUAUAAUUGGGACAGAGACCGGAAUCAGAAACACCCAAGUGGCAUCCCAGGAAAAGUGCAUCAUCCCCACUGUACACUCAGUGCUACUCUACUGGAAAGCAUGGAACACAUGUAAUUCAAGAACGGAAGACACCAAACUGAAGAAGAAAUUGUGCUAUUUAAUUGCAGGCAUCCCCACAAUCCCUUAUGCAGCCAUAUUGAUUCGACUGACUGAAAGUAUUUCCUCGAAGUUGUUCUGAAAUUCGGAUCAAUGGGUUUCAUUUUGAAGCACCUUUGUUUGGCCUCUGAAGGCUUUUAUUUCCCUCCACGGUGGAUUUCACUGAACUCUGGAAAAUGUCACAAUUUACCUUAAUUUGUGCAACUUUAGGUAAAAAAAAAAAUGAAUGAAUGGAAGAGCGACUGCAUAAAUGAAAGCAGAGUGAUUGCAGGCUGCCUUCAGCAGAGGGUGGUCUUGCCUGAUCAACCCUGAAACCGCGCUUCCCCUUUGGCCUUUGCUGGAACAAAGGCUGGCUUUUUCUUCAUCUGUGGUGAAGAGAUUGACUGACAAAAAUCCACAAUCAAAUAAAGGAGACCCCCCGCCCCUCCCCAGCCCUAACAAAUGUUUGAUAAAUGCUUUUUUGGACAUACACCUUGUUUAAAGACCUUUUCAGACAUUUAAAUAAAAUUCAAAACCUACGGAUAAGAGAAUGAAGGGACAGAUUCACACCACAUUCAUCAUCUAAAAUAUAAGGGGGGGUAGGAGCAACUUUUCAAGGUAAUAAAUAAUUAACCCCAGGUUUUUAUGGUCUUACAGAAAAAAAUAUUUUUCAAGCAUUUUUUAAAUAGUACGUUUAAUAUGAAUAUUUUGGUCAGGUCUUACGCAAAAGCCAUCCAAAAAAGAAAAGCUUAGCAUUAUAUUACCCUUGUAAAUAUAUGCUAAGUGGUUUUACUGGAACUUCCAGUAUCCACCAGAUACAUGCGUGUGGUUCCCCACGAUAGCCUCACUUCCUGUUUUGCGAGGACGGCCUUCAUUCGCGCCUUCCGCCUACACUCAUUGUAAAUAACUUUUCCUGCCUUGGUCUGCUGUGGCAUUUAGGAAAGUUGUUUAUAACCAAGACUUGCACCACUUGCACUGUUGGCUGCAACGCGUUUUUCUCGACAGCAGUGAGCGGAGAUUCAGAAUCCAUAUCUCUGCUGGCAUAUUAGCAAGUGUUUCACAUUCGUUGUUUUACAUUUUUUUUUAGGUGUGUUGUGAAAGCUGAGACAAUUCCUGGUAGAGCUCGGUCCCCCGGGGUCAGAGGGUCCACAGCGGUGUGACUUCGGCUGACCAUUAUAGCGCCAUCCAGCUUCACGACGCAAACAAACCUUAAAUCACCACCAGUGGCAGCUGUCCAGUAAAUGAGCCUCUCAGGCAGCUGCUGCGUGCUGCAGGCUGACCGUUCGCUCCAGCGGCAAUAACUUAGUAGUACACUACAGAGGUGAGCUCGAGGAACCCCCCACCCCCACACACACACACACACACACACACACACACACACACACACACACACACACACACACACUUGGGACGGACAGUAGACACUGUGUAAACAAUGGCCGUUGAGGGAGGAAGGUCGCCAAUAAAACGCUUCCUGCUACUGCAUUAUUCUCCUGCCGGCUCACGCGUCAGUUGGUCCCGUUCCGGCACCCAUGAACCUCAGACCCACUCCCCCAGCAGGAGGGGACAGAGGGGGCUUUCCGCCACACGUGUGCCCCCCCCCCCCAUCCCCUGGAACUCUACAUGUCAUCACUUUUGGUGCUCUCUGCAGGUCUACACAGGAACUCUGUCUCCACCUACUGACUCCCACCAUCCAAGCUGCCUUCCUCAGAGACAAUGAACUCGAAAGUGACUUUCAUUUCCUCCGCUGGAGCUCAGGACAGCAGCACGGUGUGACUCAGGCUAAUCCUCCUAAUGGUCUUAGCUGGCAGCUGAAGGUGUGUAGGAAAACGGGGACCAAGAACUCGCCUGGAUCUCAGUAUGUUCCGCGAGCAGUGCAGCUCAUGAGAACUCGGGGGUGCGCUUCCAGUGGAUUGACAUUUUAGUUCAGAACGUUUGUAGCAAGCUAUUCAACACGAACAGCAUCACAGAUAGACGUAACAGCAGCUAGUUGUACAAUUUUAAAAGUCAGUUGAAAAUUAUGUCAACAGAACCUUUGAUGAUUUGUACAGGAUAAAAAGAGUGUAUCCAGGGAUAAAGGGUUGUGUAACUCUGAGCGACUUUCUGAAUGCCUAAAAAUGUAAAGAUUGGAUGGUAAAAACCUGGUGGGGCUCCAGCUGAUCUCAGGCUCAGAGUAAAGAUUGGAUGGUAAGGCCUGGUGGGCUCCUGCUGAUCUCAGGCUCAGUGUAAAGAUUGGAUGGUAAGGCCAGGUGGGCUCCUGCUGAUCUCAGGCUCAGUGUAAAGAUUGGAUGGUAAGGCCUGGUGGGCUCCUGCUGAUCUCAGGCUCAGUGUAAAGAUUGGAUGGUAAAGGCCUGGUGGGCUCCUGCUGAUCUCAGGCUCAGUGUAAAGAUUGGACGGUAAGGCCUGGUGGGCUCACGUCAGCCUUCCCAAGCUCGCCACCUACUGGGUGGGUAAAAGCCACUGCGCAUUUCUGAAAGACCUGGGAUGCAUGGAGAACACACCCCCCCCUACAUGUGUGAAUAGUUCAGCUGAUCACCUCACCUGGAACCCUUUGCUCAGUCUGGAGCUGUUCAUUUAACUACACAUAUUCAGACCCAAAAAUAUCUGAACUUGUGGAGCAUUCAUGGGGGGGGGGGGGGGUAAGAAGGAAACUGCUUUCCAGGUCAGGUUUGGGGUGGCAGCCUGCAUAGAUCAGUCCCAUUGCCCAACGGGAUGAACAUAGGCCUUGGCUUUUAUUGUUUGCCUAAACUCAGCUCAGCACAGACUGGGAGGUAUUUAUAUAGCCUCAAAGCUGUUGAACAAAUUCUUCGUAGACAUUCACCGGCAUACCAAAGUCCUCCAAUAAAUGUGUACAGGAAAGUCCAGUGUCACAGAGAAAGAGGGUGGUUCUGACAGAUAAUUGGUGUUUAUUGGUUGGAAGUGACCUUUGACCCCUAUUUCGAAUAAGCUGAAUGGGUGGAUGGUCUUAAGGGAAGCGGCACUCCUUAAAUGCAUGCAUACCUGAUAAGCUGCUACCCACCGGGGGUCAUCGUAGUUUCUGCUGGGUCCUGCUCGCCAGGUGGCCGUGCAGGUUGCUGUAGACCUGUUAAACGAGGGCCUCGCAAUUAAGAACAUAAGAAAUUUACAAACGAGAUUAGCUUCAGGACAUCGGUUAUGGUUUGUGGGCUUUCAGGAUCGACUUUAGUCAGACGUAGGCCAGGUAUUAGAAAAUACUCUUUGAUUGACCCUGGACUCAACUGCUACAAGGGCUACAGGGAACCAGAACUGUAGCACAUAAGAACACCUACAAAACGGCAUUUUUUUGUAUCUCAGGCUAUUCACGUUGUGAGACGUAAUGCUAAUCACUUUUGGAAAAAGGGUUAUAGAAGGCAUGACACGGACUUGGAGGCAUCUGAACCAGCACAUGAAAAGGUAGGCAUGUGUCCAAAUGAUGCCCUGUAGGACAAGAUCCUGAAUGUGAGUCAUGUCUCUCUAACGUCGAAACACGUUCGUCUCGUCCCGUGCCUUCAGGGACCUUGUAGGAAGCACAGAACAGGCGCAAUGUACUUCAGGGCUGCCCUGGAGCUCCCAUGUUACAGACAUCGCAGUUUUCUACCAUAAAAUAUUCAUGGGUUUGGGUGCCGUGUGUGUAAGGGGAGUGUUUGCGUGGCUAGUCACAGAUUUGUCUGAAAUACUUCACUUUACAUGCAUCUUUUGAAGUGUCACUGGACCGUAACCGCGGACGUACUUAAAAUGAGUUACGGCGGUGAGCUCUGCUAGGUCUUUUUAAAGUGAAAGCUAUGAAAUAUGUGCAUUUUUUUUAUCCUUAUAAAUCAUAGAAUUAUAACAUCAAGCCUUCCAGGUGUCUCUUACAGUAGCUGUCAAAGCGGUGGGGAGCCACGCUGGCAGAGAAAAGCUGCUUCCCGAGUUCAGCAUCGUGACAGUAAUGAGAGACACAUUUAAUCUUGGGGGAGGUUCCCAAUGAAGGCCGUCGUUCCUCCCUGCAGAGACAACAGUAAUCUUGCUUCUUUCACUCGUUGUCCCCGUGUUCAGCAAGUGUGAACAGCUGGCCUUGGUAAAUGCACGGAGCUCCGUCAG